rnacentral:rRNA from 1 species
AGAACGAACGCUGGCGGCAUGCCUAAUACAUGCAAGUCGAACGAACACUUCGGUGUUAGUGGCGCACGGGUGCGUAACGCGUGGGAAUCUGCCCCUUGGUUCGGAAUAACAGUUGGAAACGACUGCUAAUACCGGAUGAUGACGAAAGUCCAAAGAUUUAUCGCCAAGGGAUGAGCCCGCGUAGGAUUAGCUAGUUGGUGAGGUAAAGGCUCACCAAGGCGACGAUCUGUAGCUGGUUUGAGAGGACGACCAGCCACACUGGGACUGAGACACGGCCCAGACUCCUACGGGAGGCAGCAGUGGGGAAUUUUGGACAAUGGGGGAAACCCUGAUCCAGCCAUCCCGCGUGUGCGAUGAAGGCCUUCGGGUUGUAAGCACUUUGGCAGGGAAGAACGGCGUUGGACUAAUAUUCAGCGUCACUGACGUACCUGCAGAAUAAGCACCGGCUAACUACGUGCCAGCAGCCGC